rnacentral:lncRNA from 1 species
GUAGCUGUCAGGCCUCAAAUUACUGCUGUUGAAAGGGUGCUCCAGCUUCUGGAGAGCAUAACGAGAGUCUGGCCUUAGGAAACUGGCCAGCAAUGAAAUGCUAGCAGGUGCAGCACAAGCUGGUCUAAUUGUGUUCCUGUCCCAGACACAAAUUUUACUUUUUCCCAGAUAAGGGGCCAGAGACAGAUGGCCAAGGAAGAGGCAACCCAAAGCAACCUUUCUGGUCCGAGAUAAUGUAAUUACACCCACGGUCUGGGAAUAAUGCCUAAGGGACAACCUGUAACUCUCUUGCAGCCACUCAAUGUGGACCCUGAAGAUGCCGUUGGGCAUUAAAGAUUUGGGAUAAAAUACAAUGAACGUGCCUAAGGAUGUGGGCCAGUGAGCGUGUCUGCGUUCACCUCAGCCUCAGUGAAUACUGAUCCAAGGCCUCGACUUGCCAGGCCAGCACCUGGCCAGGUGCUCUGGGACACCAAGCUCACAAUAAUUCUCACGUGUGAUGAUGCGUUGGGAACGUAGAUCACAGAUGUGAGGCUGGAGAAGGCAUUUCAGAGCGGGGCCUGUGACGUGAGCCCUGAAGGAUGAGCAGGAAGUUAGCAGACCCGGGGACAGUGGGGGGCAGAGACCUCUGCGGAGCAGCACGUGCAACGCUGCCUGCAAUGCAGAUGCUAGGGAGCCUUUUCAGUGACAUAAAAUGACAUACGAGGCCUGCGCCAUUGAGGUGGCAUUGUGCACGGAAAACCCCCACACCCACGAGACCUGAAAACAUACUUAGGACUCAACCGUGGCCUUUUUUUUUUUUUUUUUUGCCUUUUCUUGAGCCAUGCCUGUGGCAUAUGGAGGUUCCCAGGCUAGGGGUCCAAUCGGAGCUGUAGCCGCCGGCCUACACCACAGCCACAGCAAGCAGGAUCCGAGCCACAACCUACACCACAGCUCAGGGAUCGAACCCGCAACUUCGUGGUUCCUAGUCGGAUUCAUUAACCACUGCGCCACGACAGGAACUCCAGCAGUGGCUUUCUUCACUAGACAGGACAGGUAACGGGAUGAUGCUCAAUUGUUUGAAUAAGUCAAAUUGGCACGACUCGCCUUGAGCAAACGUAGCUCUGAGAGAAGCCCUUGCAAACUUGCCCGUUCUUGUGAAAACACCACGUCCAUCCCCAGUCCUCUCCUCUCAACACACUUCACUGGAAUUGAUUAUGUACCACACACCAAAGUAACCCCCGGGGCUGGGCCAUUGCACGGCCCCUCUGUCACCAUCCCGCUGCUGCAACCACUGCAUCACUGAGUAGCUCACCCCCUGUGUCCUUGCCUUACCUCCGUGCUCGUCCCCACAUUGCCCAGCACGGUCUUUGAUUUGCUUCACAUGCUCACCCCUCGUCCUCUCCUCCAACCUUUCCAUUCCACCUUCGAGAUGGAAAAGCUGCCAGCUUCCUCCCAUCUUCUCUGAAGCAUCGUUCCCUCCUGAAGACACCGCUCUCCGGCAGCCUUCUCAGAAAUGGCUUUUUUCCUUCCCGCAACCUGCGUAUCACUAGCCUGAAGGGAUGCAGGUCUCGCUUUGAUCUUCGCAGCUACGUUCAGACCUUCAAUGCUCUCUCCUCCCUAAGAACCCCUUUGGAAGCACUUGACACAUGAAAGAAUAUUUUAGCACCUAAUCAACUGGGUGUUUUUUCUCCCACCCCUAUCCAUACGCCAUCCACCAACCUGGCCACGCAGCUCCUUGACCUGCUCGCUUCUGCAAUCCUGUUCUCCCCCGUCCAGACACCCGCCACCUGUGCCCACGGUUGACCUUACGCUGUGUCAUUACCAAUAACUGCACCGUCACCAACAUACUCAUCCGAAGCAUCCUCCCUCUGGGCAUCCCUCUUCUCCUAACAGGCCACUCCCUCUGGCACCAUCACUCCGACAAUGGUGGGUUGCUCCCGAGUACCUCUAAUCCAUGGACUUGAUACAUUUUCAUGGAUUAUUAUCCCCGCAUGUCAUUUCUUCCUUCCUUGACCAAGCGAGCCUCUGUGCUUCCCCAUCAUAUUUAUUGUCUUGUCUCCAUUCUCAAAUCCCUUCAUCUUCUCAGGCUUAGGUUUCAGCCCAACGUUUCGCCUUAACUGCAGCCUCAGAGAUACUCUGGCUGCCUCACCUGAAUAUCUAAUAAACAUCCUCAACGGACAUUGCCAACGAUAAUUAUGAUUUUCUUCCCAAAUAUGCUCCUAACCCAUCAUACUCGGUCAACGGCAACAUUAUUUACAUUGUGGUUAAAUUUCGUAAUACAUAUAGAUCUAUCUAUCUGCCUGCGCAUAUAUUGUCUGCUCCUGUAGCAUGUGGAAGGUCCCCGGCCAGGGUCUGAACCCACACCACAGUAGUGACAACACCAGAUCCUUAACUGCUAGGCCACCAGGGAACUCCAGUAUAUCCUUAGUCAGAUCCUGAAUCCAACCCCUUCUCAGCAUCAGCACUUUCUAGUCCAAGCCCCAUCAUGGCUCCAGAUGACCGCUGCAGCCUACCAUGGACCCUUUGUUUCCACUUUUAUCUGUCCUCUUAACCUCCUCUCUCUACUCAGCAGCCAGAGGGAUCCUUUUAAAGGGAGAAAUCAGAUUAUACCAUUUCCAAGCUCAGAUCUUUCACCAUUUUCCCAUAUUUAAAAUAAAACCCUGGGAGUUCCCGUUGUGGCUCAGCAGUAAUCCAACUAGUAUCCAUGAGGACACGGGUUCGAUCCCUGGCCUGGGUUAAGGAUCUGGUGUUGUGGUGAGCUGUGGUGUAGGUCACAGAUGCAGCUCGGAUCUGGCAUGGCUGUGGCUGUGGUAUAGGCCGGCAGCUACAGCUCUGAUUUGACCCCUAGCCUGGGAACCUCCAUAUGCCCCGGGUGCAGUCC